rnacentral:antisense_RNA from 1 species
ACCGUGCAGUCGUGGCGGGCGUCGGGGUCCGCCAGGGCGUGCGCGCCGAAGUGCUCGCCGUCCGCGAGCACCGCGACGGCGGUCUCGCCGCCGUACUUGCCUUCGGAGGUCUGGCUGACCCGGCCGUGGGCGAUCAGAUGGAUCCGGUCCGCGCAGCUGCCACGUUCGACGAGGACCUCGCCCGCCGUGAAGUCGCGCUGCGCGCAGCGGUCGGCGAGUGCGCCGAGGACGUCCCGGUCCUCGAAUCCACGUAGGAAGGCCAGUUCACCGAGCCCUUGCGGAAGGACGCGGACGGUGGCGCCCUCCUGGACGAAGCCGACGCGCCCAUUGCCGAGGGUGUGGCGCAGCCGUCGGUUGACCCGGUAGACGCCGCCCUCGGCCUCGACCCAGGGCAGCAUCCGCAGCAGCCAGCGAGAGGUGAUCUCCUGCAUCUGCGGGGCCGACUUGGUGGUGGUGGCGAGGGUGCGGGCGGCGGCGGUACUCAGGGACUGUUGCGGCACGCCUG